rnacentral:lncRNA from 1 species
UGAGCGUAUUUUUGAGCGUUCAGAGAAGGCAGCCCUCCACCAGAAAGGGGUUUUCCCAUCACACAGCAGAGCCAGCGCUCCUCGGGGGCACCCCGUGGCAAGACGAAGUCCCCACUGUCAUAUUCCUGAGGCAAAGUGAAACUGCUGAACAGGCGAGAUAGCUGGGUUUAUUUCUUCCCUCUGUGGCAGCACUGAAGAGUUAACCCCUACUGGUGUCAUGACAGUACUUCCACUCCUCCAAGCUGUUGCAUUUUAGUAUAAUUUUAAUACAAACACGCCCCGCUUUCCAAGUACUGUGGGGACACGAAGUGAAACGUGAGGGAAGGGUAAAAGCAAUCUUGAUCCAAAUCGCAGCUUAGUCACAAUUUUCCUAGGAAGGACUUUGCUUACUUUUCACAUGACUGAGUUGGCUGCGUGGGCUCAGCCCUGAGGAGGGUUGGGGGGACAGAAGGAAGAAGCUGAAGGAGCAGAAAGUUGUGAUGAAUAUGGCUGCACGUGUUCAAAUGACUCUGGAACUCUUGCAGAGUUCUGUAAGUGUGUCACACUGACCUGAGAAAAUCCAGCUGCACUCUCAUGAAUUAUUUCUAUACACAAGAAAAAAUAUAUAAAAUUGAGCAAAUCUACAAAUUUGCUAUAUCUGUAAACCUAUUCUUGCCAGCAGUAAGUCCAGGAGUACAUACAUGGCUAAAAGAGUUGGAGCCUGCCUGCAGUUCUGUUUGAAUCAAGAGCAGAGUUAAACUUUAUUUCUAUCAGAAUGGGACCUGACUGUAACUAACUGGGGGCAUGCAUAUGUUAGUAAACAGGUAUUUUAAUAUCAAGAGAGAUCCAAUUUUUUUGCAUUACUUUGAAAAAUUUUGCACAGUCUAGAAUUCAUUUUCACUUACAUUUGCAC